GACGAACGCUGGCGGCGUGCUUAACACAUGCAAGUCGAACGAAGUGGCGAACGGGUGAGUAACGCGUAAUCAACCUGCCCUUCAGCGGGGGACAGCAGUUGGAAACGACUGCUAAUACCGCAUUCUGAAGGCGGGGCUGGCGUGUGAUUAGCUAGUUGGAGGGGUAAGGGCCCACCAAGGCGAUGAUCAGUAGGCGGUCUUAGAGGAUGAACGGCCACAUGGGGACUUAGACACGGCCCAGACUCCUACGGGAGGCAGCAGUGGGGAAUCGUCCGCAAUGGACGAAAGUCUGACGGAGCAACGCCGCGUGAGUGAUGACGGCCUUCGGGUUGGAAAGCUCUGUUAAUCGGGACGCGGUACCGGAAUAGAAAGCCACGGCUAACUACGUGCCAGCAGCCGCGGUAAUAC
rnacentral:rRNA from 1 species